UACGAAGGGUGCAAACGUUGCUCGGAAUCAUUGGGCGUAAAGCGCACGUAGGCGGCCAUAAAAGUCGGAUGUGAAAUCCCUCGGCUCAACCAAGGAAGUGCAUCUGAUACUGUAUGGCUUGAGUACCAAAGAGGAUCGCGGAAUUCCCGGUGUAGAGGUGAAAUUCGUAGAUAUCGGGAGGAACACCAGUGGCGAAGGCGGCGAUCUGGGUGGAUACUGACGCUGAGGUGCGAAAGCGUGGGGAGCAAACAGG
rnacentral:rRNA from 1 species